CCCCCCCCCAAAAAAAAAUGAUGUCUCCAAAGCCAAUCUCAGACGAUGGAGGAUCUCCUCAUUUUAGGCACACUCCUCUGCAGAUAAUCCACGUUGUUGGAAACUUCUUGAGAAUAUGGUCAGUUUACUCCAUGUAUCGUUACUUGACCCAGACAGGAGCUUCAGUGGUGCUUUUUAUCUUCGGCUGUCUAGUUCCCUCAUCUAUCUUAUUUUUACUCUUGCAAAAGCCUUGGAAGGGAAGACCGCUCUCAAAUGCACAGGUUGUUCCAUCUCUUAUAAAUGGUGCAAUAACAGCUGUAUACUUCAUCUUGUGGGGAAAGGGCCUUAAAUCAUGUGGGCCACUUAGAGCUAUAAUGGCGGAGUAUUCUGGUGCUGUUCUUGGAGUAUUAUCUGCAGUAUUGUAUGGUAGAAGAGGGCAUGUCUGGAAAAAGGUUGGUGGGCUUAUUGCGAUGUUGGCAUCUUUUUAUUUUUUAUCCCAAGGCUGGGCCUUGGCAACAUUUUCUCCAUUCUCAUUCAGAGACAGCCUUGAUUCUGAUGUUCAGGCUGAACAAGUAUUGGGUAUGAGCCAAAUGAUGAUUCCCAUCUUGGCUGGGAUCUUAUCAGCUUUGAGAAGGGUGAUUGCAAGGCGUGUUUCACUCAAGAAUCAACUUAAAAGGCGGCUUCAUGCAAUAACCAUUGCUUCUGCAACGUGUUUUCUAUUCCCUGUGGCCAUGUGGGACUUGAUCAUAGGAUCUUCUGGUAGCAGUGUGGAACUGCCAUUUUCUGCCUGGGCUUUUCUAAGCACUGUUCUCUUUGGAAUAAUCUUGAUAUUCUACGUUGACAGCAUCGCAGAGGAGAAGUUGCACAUGGUUUUCUCUUCUCCAAGACAUUUAAUGGCAGCUGGAGGAUGCAUAAUUGUCAUGGAGAUGGUGUACAAAAUGGACUUUUCCCUGGCAGGCUUCGUAAUUUGCUCCUCAAUAUUGGGCUUUGGGAUAUAUGAGGCAACUGCCUUGGAACGUGGUAGGAAAAAUUCUUUUCAAAAGCCAGAUGUAUCAAAUGGGAUGUUAGACGAUGAACUUGAGAUGUCUUCUCUUCCAACUUAAUGUAUGCAAUUCUGAUGUGAAGAAUUUUGCUUAUUUACAUGUCAAAUUCCUUGGUCCUUUUUUCCCUGUGUUUACAAGAGAUUAAUACUGCAUGGUUGGGAGAUAGGGGAGGAAGUCCUUAAUAUCAACUAUUGUUGGUUCAUUGUGAUACGUGAAACUGUUGGAUGAUGAUGUGAGGAGGCAGUGACAACCUAGGGUUUAUACAUGAACAAGCAAUUUUCUUGAAGCAUUGGGUGUGAAGAUGUUGAUUUUGUUACCCUUAGUUAUGGGGCAUGGAUAACACAUCUCAUUGCUUCAAUUGCUUGCCGGAUAGCUCCUGGGCAAAUUCUUUAUUGUCAAAAUGGUGUAACAUCUGAGCCAACAUUUGACAUGCUAAAGCAAAUUUUGAGUUUGGACCCCAAGUGUGGCAUUUAACAAGAUCCAUGACGUUGUAAAAUUGUUUCAAAUUUUUACCUACUGUUUAUAGUUUACAACUACUCACUGGAAACAUUAUGCUUGUACUGCCCAAUGAAGGGUUUUGCUGAUUGCCUCUGUAGCUAACAUUUGUUUUUUAUCAAAGAAAACUUUGUAUUGUAAAAGAUUGGUCUGUACCUUUGAUCCCAAACAGCUUUUGCUAAUAGAUGAAAGUUUGUUCUAUUGUUCUAA